GUGUUCGCUUCAGCAGCACAUAUACUAAAACUGAAAUGAUACAGAGAUUAGCAUGGCCCCUGCACAAAGAUGCUAUGCAAAUUUGUGAAGUGUUUCAUAUUUUU